AUGCGCAACCCGCGCGCCGUCGUCCCUGGCAACACUGGCUGCUCUAGCGCCUGGCGGGGUCUCACGGGCGGGCCUGGGCGCACGGCCAAAGCGCCAGGUCUCCACCCCCAGCCCCCGGCGUCCUGCAGCCGGAGCCUGCCUCGCCUGGCUCCUGCGCCCGCCGUCCAGGGCCCCUGUCCAAGCUCGCGGACGCCGGCGGCGUUUUCCAGCUCGAGUGCUCAGCCUAGGGCAGGCUCUGCGUGCGCCCCCUCGAGUGCCGGCCUGGGCCCUGCCAGGCAGAGGCGCUCUUGCGUCAGGACGGCGCCGCCGGGGCCCCGCGAUUCCAACUCGGGGGUCCCGGAGCGGCGCGGGGCGGGGACGGCCUGGCAGCUCCCAGCAGCGAGGGGCGAUCCCCGCCCGCGCAGCAGACCCCGAGCUGCCCAGGCCCUUCCUGCGCCACGUGUACCCAGAGCUCCGCCCGGGGGAGACUUCGCUGCUUGUUGGAGAUGCCCAGCGGUAGGGGGCGAGGACUCGGGAGGAAGAUAAACGGGGGAUCCCGUGUCUGGACUUUCUCCUCCACCCUCUUCCCUUCGCAGCUGUGAAUCCUGGGAGGGGAAGGGUGGCCGCCCCGCCAGCAGAGAGCUGAAGGUGUUCCGUGGUCAGUGAGGGCUGGCACUGGCUCUGCACGAAGAUCUCCUCACCUCCCCAGCGGCUCCUGGCCAGCUCCCCACGGAGAGCCCAGGACACUUGUCCCUGGACACAGUGGUGCAGCCAUGCUUGGGCCAAACCAUGAGGCCACCAGAACCGCGAAAGGCUACUGUACUGAGAGGGAUACUGCGAGAGAGGCCCACAGGUUUCCAAGCAUCCCUCUCACUCCGCACACUCAUCUCCACGACCGGCUUUAAGUGCGGCCUUGAGGCCUGGCUCCCUGUUUGGACUUCUCUGCACCUCCAGGAGCUCACUUCCCGUCACAGCUGGAUGCCUCCUCCCGCAGGCACCUCCCGGGCAUCCUCCCGCCCCAGGCUGCACCUUCUGUGGGACUGGCCCCCGCAGGCACCUCCCGGGCACCCUCCCGCCCCAGGCUGCAGCUUCUGUGGGACUGAGCCCCGCAGGCACCUCCCCGGCAUCCUCCCGCCCCAGGCUGCACCUUCUGUGGGACUGAGCCCCGCAGGCACUUCCCCGGCAUCCUCCCGCCCCAGGCUGCAGCUUCUGUGGGACUGACCUUAAGACCCCAUCGGUUCCUCCUGAGAGCAGCAGAUCUCAGCCAGAUGCUGCCGGGAGGGAGGUGCUAGCGUCCACACCCAGACGGGUCCAGUCCAGCCCUGCUCUCCCUGGUCUCCAGGCAGGGCCCUCCCAGGGUGGACAUUGCCCAUCUCUGCCUGGCCAGGGGCUGCUGACCCACUGGUUCCAGAGUCUGAGCCUGUCCUGCACAAGUACCAUGGACAGGGGUCAGCCGGGCACUGAAGAGGCGUGGCAGAAUUGGGCAGGGCAAGGGCCCCAGCUGGCAAGCUGGAGUCAGGGCAAUUCCAACCAAGAAACUGCGGCAGGCCGGGUGCAGUGUCUCAAGCCUAUAAUCCCAGCACUUUGGGAGGCAGUGGGAGAAUCGCUUGAGCCCGGGAGUUUGAGACCAGCAUUGGUAACAUAGAGACCCUAUCGCUACAAGAAAAAAAAAAAAAAAAAGCUGGGCAUGGUGGUGCACACCUGUUGUCCCAGCUAUUCAGGAGGCUGACGUGGGAGGAUUGCUUGUGCCCAGGGGUUGCAGGCUGCAGUGAGCUGUGAUCAUACCACUGCACUCCAGCCUGGGCGACAGAGAACCUCUCUAAAAAAAAAGGAAAAUGAAAAAUAAAUGGGGGCAGAAGCUGAGCCAAGCAGAGGCGGGCAGCUCCUCCUCCAGGGCCCACCUGGCCUGCUGGGG
rnacentral:lncRNA from 1 species